AUUGAACGCUGGCGGCAGGCCUAACACAUGCAAGUCGAACGGUAACAGGAAACAGCUUGCUGUUUCGCUGACGAGUGGCGGACGGGUGAGUAAUGUCUGGGAAACUGCCUGAUGGAGGGGGAUAACUACUGGAAACGGUCAUAACGUCGCAAGACCAAAGAGGGGGACCUUCGGGCCUCUUGCCAUCGGAUGUGCCCAGAUGGGAUUAGUUAGUAGGUGGGUAACGGCUCACCUAGGCGACGAUCCCCUAGCCUGGUCUGAGAGGAUGACCAGCCACACUGGAACUGAGACACGGGUCCAGACUCCUACGGGAGGCAGCAGUGGGGAAUAUUGCACAAUGGGCGCAAGCCUGAUGCAGCCAUGCCGCGUGUAUGAAGAAGGCCUUCGGGUUGUAAGGUACUUUUC
rnacentral:rRNA from 1 species